GCCCAUAUAGCUCAGCGGCAGAGCACUUCCUUGGUAAGGAAGAGGUCGGCGGUUCAAUUCCGCUUAUGGGCUCCA
rnacentral:tRNA from 1 species